CUACGGGUCGCAGCAGUCGCGGAACUUUUACAAUGCACGCAAGUGUGAUAAAGCGAACCAAAGUGCCUUUCUUUUUGAAAGGCUUUUCUUUACUGUAAAAAUGUAGAGGAAUAAGGACUGGGAAAGACUGGUGCCAGCCGCCGCGGUAAUACCAGCAGUUCAAGUUGCAUCCCUUUUUAUUGGGUCUAAAACAUCCGUAGCUUGUUAUUUAAGUCUCUUGUGAAAUCCUACGUCUCAAGCGUGGGGCUUGCGGGAGAUACUGGAUAGCUAGAGAUCGGUAGACGUAAGGAGUACGCCGGGGGUAACGGUCAAAUGUGUUAAUCCUCGGUGGACUAACAAUGAGCGAAGGCACCUUACGAGGACGAAUCUGACAGUGAGGGAUGAAGGCCAGGGGCGCAAAACGGAUUAGAUACCCGAGUAGUC
rnacentral:rRNA from 1 species